AAGCAUAUCAAUAAGCGGAGGAAAAGAAACCAACAGGGAUUGCCCUAGUAACGGCGAGUGAAGCGGCAACAGCUCAAAUUUGAAAUCUGGCUACAUCCCGUAGUCCGAGUUGUAAUUUGUAGAGGAUGCUUUUGGUGAGGUGCCUUCCGAGUUCCCUGGAACGGGACGCCAUAGAGGGUGAGAGCCCCGUACGGUUGGAUACCAAGCCUCUGUAUAGCUCCUUCAACGAGUCGAGUAGUUUGGGAAUGCUGCUCUAAAUGGGAGGUAUAUCUCUUCUAAAGCUAAAUAUAGGCUAGAGACCGAUAGCGCACAAGUAGAGUGAUCGAAAGAUGAAAAGCACUUUGAAAAGAGAGUUAAACAGCACGUGAAAUUGUUGAAAGGGAAGCGCCUAUGACCAGACUUGUUUCUGGCAGUUUCGUUAGCCCUCGGGCUGAUUUACUCUGUCCAGUACAGGCCAGCAUCAGUUUGCUGUCGGGGAGAAAGGCUCUGGGAACGUAGCUCCCCCCUUCUGGGGGGAGUGUUAUAGCCCUCUGCAUAAUACCCUUCGGCAGACUGAGGACCGCGCUUCGGCAAGGAUGCUGGCGUAAUGGUCAUCAGCGACCCGUCUUGAAACACGGACCAAGGAGUCAACCUUAUGUGCGAGUGUUUGGGUGUAAAACCCCAGCGCGUAAUGAAAGUGAACGUAGGUGAGAGCUUCGGCGCAUCAUCGACCGAUUCUGAUGUUUUCAGAUGGAUUUGAGUAAGAGCACACAGGGUUGGACCCGAAAGAAGGUGAACUAUGCUUGUAUAGGGUGAAGCCAGAGGAAACUCUGGUGGAGGCUCGCAGCGGUUCUGACGUGCAAAUCGAUCGUCAAAUAUGAGCAUGGGGGCGAAAGACUAAU
rnacentral:rRNA from 1 species